rnacentral:rRNA from 1 species
UAGGGAAUCUUCCGCAAUGGGCGAAAGCCUGACGGAGCAACGCCGCGUGAGUGAUGAAGGUCUUCGGAUCGUAAAACUCUGUUAUUAGGGAAGAACAAAUGUGUAAGUAACUAUGCACGUCUUGACGGUACCUAAUCAGAAAGCCACGGCUAACUACGUGCCAGCAGCCGCGGUAAUACGUAGGUGGCAAGCGUUAUCCGGAAUUAUUGGGCGUAAAGCGCGCGUAGUCGGUUUUUUAAGUCUGAUGUGAAAGCCCACGGCUCAACCGUGGAGGGUCAUUGGAAACUGGAAAACUUGAGUGCAGAAGAGGAAAGUGGAAUUCCAUGUGUAGCGGUGAAAUGCGCAGAGAUAUGGAGGAACACCAGUGGCGAAGGCGACUUUCUGGUCUGUAACUGACGCUGAUGUGCGAAAGCGGGGGGAUCAAACAGG